AUGACUCUGUGUGCUGUCUUCAUUAGAACCAAUGGGCCACAAGCAGAAGUGAGUGAGUGUGUGUGUGUGUGUGUGUGUGUGUGUGUGUAUGCAUGUUUUCCAGGCAAAGCCUUGAAGGGCAAGUGCAAGUUCUCCAUGUUUCUUCUCUUUCCCCUGCACAGUGAUCAUGAACAUGUGAUGAAACGAGGAACUGCAGAUGGUAGCAGCCUGAAUUGCCGAGUCAUUGCUGGAGGGAGGAACCUGAACAUUGCUCACCUUAAAAUUGAAGCACCAGUAAAAGACGUGGAGAGCCAGAGAUGGGAUUCAAAAUGAAAGCCAGGGAACCCUUGAAAUCAGAGGCCCUUGUAACAG
rnacentral:lncRNA from 1 species